AGUGAACGCUGGCGGCAGGCCUAACACAUGCAAGUCGAACGGCAGCACAAGAGGGCUUGCUCUCUGGGUGGCGAGUGGCGGACGGGUGAGGAAUGCAUCGGAAUCUGCCCAUUUGUGGGGGAUAACCUCGGGAAACCGGGACUAAUACCGCAUACGACCUACGGGUGAAAGCAGGGGAUCUUCGGACCUUGCGCAGAUGGAUGAGCCGAUGCCGGAUUAGCUAGUUGGAGGGGUAAAGGCCCACCAAGGCGACGAUCCGUAGCUGGUCUGAGAGGAUGAUGAGCGACACUGGGAGUGAGACAGGGCACAGAGUCCGACGGGAGGCAGCAGUGGGGAAUGUUGGACAAUGGGCGCAAGCGUGAGCCAGCGAUGCCGCGUGGGUGAAGAGGGCCUUCGGGUGGUAAGGCACAUUUGGUGGGAAGGAAAGGCAGCCGGUUAAUACCCGGUUGUCAUGACGGGACCGAAAGGAUAAGCACCGGGUAAGUUCGUG
rnacentral:rRNA from 1 species